CCCUUAGAUGUUCGGGGCCGCACGCGCGCUACACUGAAUGAAUCAGCGAGUGUAUGUCCUAGGCCGAAAGGUCCGGGUAACCCGUUGAACCGCUUUCGUGGUAGGGAUCGGGGCUUGCAAUUAUUCCCCGUGAACCAGGAAUUCCCAGUAAGCGCGAGUCAUAAGCUCGCGUUGAUUACGUCCCUGCCCUUUGUACACACCGCCCGUCGCUACUACCGAUUGAACGUUUUAGUGAGGUAUUUGGAUCGGACCUGAAGGGGUUCACGCCCUUUCUGUGUCUGAGAAGACUCCCAAACUUGAGCGUUUAGAGGAAGUAAAAGUCGUAACA
rnacentral:rRNA from 1 species